CAAAGCGCACAGCCAUCAUCCACAGCUUAGAGCUCAUUCAGGAGCUCCCAGUGCAGAACCUGAAGCCAGCCGUGGUCAAGAUCUAUGACUACUACCAGCCAAGUGACCAGGCUGAGACUGAAUACAUCUCCCCUUGUGCUGCAGGAAACAAUCUGGAAUAACAUGCUGUCCCUGUUAUUACAGAAACAAAAAAUUCAACAAUAUAUGAAAUACAACGUACAAAAUGUUUUAAGUUUUCCUCUAACCUACAGGGAUGAUUGUAGAACUUUUAUUUUUAAUUUUUAUGAUGAAAAGUCUCACUAUAUUAUAUUAAACUAUAUUUGAUAUAAUGUAAAAUAAAACUAAAGUCCCCUGAUGAUUUUUCCUUUCAUUUGCAGCUUUAAGACUGAUGUGUUCUCUGUGAUUCAAGUAAAACCUUUAAUAAAUAAUAAUAAUAUAA